UCUUUUCCUGCCUGAACUUGGGUAUGACCUAUAAUGUCACCCUAUGAAUGUCACACUUUGGGGAUAAGACAGAGGAAAGAAAGAUGCAAGCCCUAUUCCCGGAAGCAGAAAAAGCGAUAAUGCCAUCAACAGUAUGAGAACAUCUUGGUUCCAGAGCGAGGUUUGGGAGACCUGCUUGUUCUGGCAGCGAGUUGGUGGAAGGGAUCCGCUAGAGACGCCAACAUAGGGGCCAGAGAUCUGCAAGAUUUGCCCUGAGUCCAAGGCCUCUCUCCACUGCCUCCCAGCCACCCUCAGCUCAGGCCUCAGAGCAGAACAGCCAGACUCAGUGUCUGCCCAGAAUCAGGAGCAGAUCCGUGGUCCAUCAGCGGCCCCUGAAGGAGAGCUGGCCGGUGGAGGAAUGAAGCAUCUCCACAGAAAGCCUCUUAUUCAAGCAUAAACUCACAGCAGUGUGGGCUCCACCUCACCCCCAAAACUGCUCUCGUGAGGGUCACAGGGACCCUUACACCUGCUCGUCUUUCCUUGGACAUCCCACAUAAAUCAGAUUCAACAUGGCCCCAAUAAACUCAUCAAUUGCCUCCAGA